AUACGUAGGGUGCGAGCGUUGUCCGGAAUUACUGGGCGUAAAGAGCUCGUAGGUGGUUUGUCGCGUCGUCUGUGAAAUUCCGGGGCUUAACUCCGGGCGUGCAGGCGAUACGGGCAUAACUUGAGUACUGUAGGGGAGACUGGAAUUCCUGGUGUAGCGGUGAAAUGCGCAGAUAUCAGGAGGAACACCGGUGGCGAAGGCGGGUCUCUGGGCAGUAACUGACGCUGAGGAGCGAAAGCAUGGGUAGCGAACAGGAUUAGAUACCCUGGUAGUCCAUGCCGUAAACGGUGGGCGCUAGGUGUAGGGGUCUUCCACGACUUCUGUGCCGAAGCUAACGCAUUAAGCGCCCCGCCUGGGGAGUACGGCCGCAAGGUUGAAACUCAAAUGAAUUGACGGGG
rnacentral:rRNA from 1 species